CAGCUAGACUUGCUCCUCUAUAUCCAAAGCAAUUAACACCCUCAUGACUUGCAAGAUUGCCACCGCUGCUGUAUCGAUCUUCAUAUUAGCACUCCUGUUGUCUUGCAGUAAGUAUUAUAUAAUUGCCUGAUUAUACAUUCUACUUGUGAACAUUUGUGUAAUAGAUUUUAUUUUGGUUAUGUAGGUGCAUCUGGAUUCGGAUGCAAGCACAGAGCUAGGGUGGCAAUGUGCCGUCCUGCUGUUUGCAUGGAACAAUGCAUAUUGGAAGGCUACCAAGAUGGAUAUUGUUCAUCAAAGGAAAGAUCAGUCUGCUGUUGCUUCAAUGUAAGAAAACACCCUGUAGGGAAAAUCAUCGAUUCGACUCAUUAUGAGGGUUCAGGUGCUGACUAAUAAGUAAGGUGAAGACCAAUGUGAUAAAGCUGAUACAAUUUUGUGUCCCUU
rnacentral:lncRNA from 1 species